GAUGAACGCUAGCUACAGGCUUAACACAUGCAAGUCGAGGGGUAACGAGAGGAAAGCUUGCUUUCCUUGUCGACGACCGGCGCACGGGUGAGUAACGCGUAUCCAACCUGCCCCCAACUAGGGAAUAACCUUGCGAAAGUAAGACUAAUACCCUAUAAUUUCCUCAGAUGACAUCUGACGAGGAAUAAAGAUUUAUCGGUUGUGGAUGGGGAUGCGUCUGAUUAGCUUGUUGGCGGGGUAACGGCCCACCAAGGCAACGAUCAGUAGGGGUUCUGAUAGGAAAGGCCCCCACAUUGGAACUGAGACACGGUCCAAACUCCUACGGGAGGCAGCAGUGAGGAAUAUUGGUCAAUGGGCGGAAGCCUGAACCAGCCAAGUAGCGUGCAGGAUGACGGCCCUAUGGGUUGUAAACUGCUUUUAUACAGGAAUAAAGUUAGCCACGUGUGGUUAUUUGUAGGUACUGUAUGAAUAAGGACCGGCUAAUUCCGUGCCAGCCGCCGCCGUAA
rnacentral:rRNA from 1 species